GAGUUUGAUUCUGGCUCAGGGUGAACGCACAAGACGUGCCUAACACAUGCAAAUCGAAUGAAAAGAAUUAAUUAUUGUUUUCAUGGUGAACGGGUGAGUAACACAUAAGAAUCAGCUUUUAGAUAAGGCAUAAAAGAGUAAUAUCUUGGUAAUUCCUUAUAUGCGCAGCAGUGCUUAAAAAGGGGAGUCCCGUCUAAAAACGAGCUUAUGCCUGAUUAGCUAGUUGGCGAGUUAAAAGCUCACCAAGGCGAAGAUCAGUAGCUGGCCUGAGAGGGCGGCCAGCCACAUUGGGACUGAGACACGGCCCAAACUCCUACGGGAGGCAGCAGUGGGGAAUCUUCUGCAAUGGGCGCAAGCCUGACAGAGCGGCGUCGUGUGAAGGAAGAAGGCCUGAAAUAGGUUGUAAACUUCUUUUACUGAGUAAUGAAUAAUGACAACGCAGUAAAAAAGUAUCGGCUAACUCCGUGCCAGCAGCCGCGGUAAUACGGGGGAUGCAAGCGUUAUCCGGAAUCACUGGGCGUAAAGCGUCUGUAGGUGGUUUAGUGUGUUCUUAGUUAAAUUAUGAAGCCUAACUUCAUGAAAAGUAAGAAAACUAUUAGACUUGAGUACGAUAGGGGUAAGAGGAAUUCUUCGAGAAGUAGUGAAAUGCGAAGAUACGAAGGAGAAGAUCAUAAGCGAAGGCUUCUUACUGGGUCGUAACUGACACUGAGAGACGAAAGCUAGGGGAGCGAAUGGGAUUAGAUACCCCAGUAGUCCUAGCUGUAAACGAUGGAUAUUCGGUGCCGGAAAUUUUAUUAGAACAUUUUCGGUACCCUAGCUAACGCGUUAAAUAUCCCGCCUGAGGAGUACGCUCGCAAGGGUGAAACUCAAAGGAAUUGACGGGGGCUCGCACAAGCGGUGGAAGCAUGUGGUUUUAAUUUCGAUGCAAAGCG
rnacentral:rRNA from 1 species